CCCAAGGAACAUGGCGGUUUAUUUACAUUCUGCCCCAGCUCGGCCAAUGGGCGGACGCCUGCCCGCGUGCCCGCCCGGCGACGCGGUCAGCUGAGGCGGCGCCCAAGAUGGCGGCGGCGCGGGGCGGUAUUGCCGGGGCGGUGCAGUAGAGCCCAGCGCCGCCGGGGUGGCCGCGUCUUGCCCGACAGGUCACCAGCCCGUCCUGGGAAGAUGCACUCUUUUGGAAAUGAAGAAGCAGUGUCUCUGGAGCAGCUCUUUGGGUUCUUCUGCGAGUGUGUACGGCAUGGGGACUGGGAGCUUGCGCAGGCCUGUGUGCUGCAGCUGAGCCAGUGGCACGGGGAUGGCCCCGAGAAGGUGGAAGCAAUUCUUCAGGCUCUGGUAGCUUGUCCCAUGGGAGUAAGAUGGGAACAGAAUUCUAGCCCGUGGAGAACUGCAUGGCUUUGGCUUCUUGUGCUGGAAAAAUGGCUUGCCAGGAAUCAGAAAACUGUUCCAGUUGUUCUUCAGAGGGAAACUGAAUUUUUAUUGUUCUUGGAAGAACUACAGAAAGAUGUUUCUGAGGAAGUCCUAAAGGAACUGUUUGAAGCAUUUGGGUGCACCCAGACCAAGCACAUCACAGACGGGAAAAGAAGAGAUGGCUCUUCUCACAGAUUCAGUUUGGAUGUUGUUUCAGCUCUCCGGAAGCUUUUGCUGCAGGCUCCCCAGAGGGCUAAAGCCCUGCUGGAGUUCUUUCAGGAGGAAGGAGGCACACACAGCUCCUCGCUCCAGCAAUAUUGCUCUCUACAAAACAUCUUUGUUGAGUUUCUUCAUGACUCCUUGAAAUCUCUGCAGAGGCUUCAGUGCAGUUCUGAAAUGUCAGCAGAACUGGAUCAAAGAGAACUAGUAGAUACAAUUUAUGCUGCUCUUAGUAUAGUGACUUUUGAUGUGGAGCAACAGGCAGAUGAAGUACGACACCUAUUCGUGGAGCUCUUGGAUGUAUGCUGGGUUGAGGGAAGCCCGCUGAGGGAGGAGAAGCUACUAAGCUGUAUGCUGAGGAAACAGAGCCAUGGCCUGUUAAGCCUAUAUAGCAGUGUUCUCAUAGAAAGAACAAGAGAAAAAUUUUUGGUGUCAAAGUCAAUGCAAAAAGGUUCAUCUGAGCAGCUGGACACAGAGCGAGCCGUGAUGAGUUUGUUCUCAGAUCCGGAAGAGACUUCUUGGAAGACAGCCUAUUUCUACUGCUUGAGCAGCAGCAAGCACUUUCUGGAACAGAUUCUGGUGACUGCAUUAACUUUGCUGAAGAGAGAAGACUACUCAGGCCUGAACAGCUUAUUGAGGAGAGAAUUCAACUCCCUUAGUCGCCUCUUGGUAUUGCUGGGAUGGACACAUUGUCAAAGCGUGGAGUCAGCAAAAACAUUGCUGUGGACUCUUCACAAAACUCGGGAUCUGUGCAAUGAUUUGGUACUGAAAGACUUCUGUGAUGGGCUGUGGGCCCAGGUGGAAGUUCUUGAAUGGUGCAUACAGCAAAACAGUAUUACUAUCCCAAGGAAGGUUCUUUUGCAACACUUGCACAGUCUAGAUUGUCACACUGCAGUGUACUCUCUUCAUCAUCUCACUAAUCUUCUGGCACUGAAGGAAGAUGAUGUUAUUGAGCUUCUUCAAAAAGUUCCUGCUAGAGACCAACAGAUGCAGGUGGCAACAUUCCCUAGCACCCUGAGUCAGCAGCGCAAUCUGGCACUCUUUCGAGCAUUUUGUGCCAUGAAGUAUGCUGUUUAUGCUCUCUGUGUGAAUUCACAUAAGCAUUCCAAGUGCAAAGAUUGUGUACGCAGCCAUCUUGGUGAUAUCCCUGAGGAUGAAACUUCUGGAGAACCAGCAGAUUGCUCUUCAGUAUUUCCUCAGUACCUUGCGAAGUGUCAGCAGUUCUUAAGGAGCGUUCCUGCUCCUCUGCGCCUGGAGGUUUUGGAGAACAUCUUCUCCUUGCUUUUUGUUUCCUACAGUGACCUGCACACUGAGGCUCUUUUACCUGAGGACUAUGCAGAAGAUGAGGAUCUUGACAAAAAGAGUACUACUGUGAGUGUAGAAGGCAGUGCUAGUCGACAUUCUUCUACCUCAGAAAGUCCACAGCGCCUAAUAGAGGCUGAAAAGAAGUCAGAGAGGCGUCUGCUGGCUGCUCAGACAGUUCACAUGGACCCCCAAGAUCUUCAUGACUUGAUGUUAGCUGGACAAAGCUGUGAAACCUCUAGGCUGAACUACCUGGAUCUGAAACACUUCACCAGUGGUGUAACUGGAUUUUUAGCGGAUGAUGUAGCCAUGGAUGCGUUCCUCACAUUGCUUCUCAACCAUCUGGAAGAAAUUCAGAGUUCUCUCCCAUGGGACUCUAGUAAUGUACCUCAUGAAGAGCUGGAGCUUGUAGAGUGCUUGAAUCUUUCUGCAAACAGAGAUGCCUUUGGAAGUCACGUGUUACAGUUUUCCAAAUAUCUUUCUGAAGCUCACUGGCGAUACAAGGUGGUGAUGAGUAACAGAAGUGCAGAACAUCAGCUUGCAACUUCCAGGAGAUACUGCUCUUUAAUCAGGUGCUCCAGCUUUAAGAAACGAAGUAGAUCUCAAAGGUACAAGACAGAUGGGAAAGAGGGAACUUCCAGUCCAUCAUUAGAAAGUACAAGUAGUGAGCUAAGCACCAGUACUUCAGAGGGAAGCACCAGUAAUGUGUCUGGCUUGAGUGAUUUGGAAAGCAGGGCGAGACCACAGCAGCAAAACCCCCUCAUUCCUAUGAUGCUUUCCCCACCAGAAUCACUGUUAGUGUCUUGUGUUUUGAGGGGAAAUUUCGUAGAAGCCCAUCAGGUGGCUUUGAUGUUUAAUCUGGAUACUUCACCUUGCUACGGUGAAUUGGUUUUCAUGGAGCGCUACCAAGAGGCGGUACAAGAAAUGGCAAGAGUGGAGCAAAAUAUUGAUAAUCAAGCAUCGGAUGGCACUGGAGGCAUCAGGAAAUCUGGCAGUGGUCGUUCGACACUGCAAGCUAUUGGGAAUGCAGCAGCAGCUGGUAUGGUAUUUUAUUCCAUCUCGGAUGUUACUGAUAAAUUGCUUGCAACUUCUGGAAGUCUUGCCCCUACUCUCCAAGAAAACUUCUGGAUAAACAAUAUCCAGCUGGAGCAUACUGAUCCUCUGCGGGAAGUGCUGGAAGACCUCAGUCCUUCAGCAAUGGCAGCAUUUGACCUGGCUUGUACUCAGUGCCGUCUUUGGAAGACGUGCAAACAGCUUUUGGAAACAACAGAAAGAAGACUGUACAACAGCCUUGAAACUCGGGGCCACCAUCCUGACUUUGUUUCACUGUACUCUGAAGGUGUAAAGGGUUUCCCAGCAGUUCUCCAGCAAAUAAGUAAAAUUCUCAACUAUUCCUGCACAUCUCAAGGGCAAUCCAAGCCAGAGGUCUCAGAUGAGAAAAUAGGGAGUCAUUUUCGAUGCAGUAUUGUAAACCUUCUGCAAGCUUGCUACCCUGCCUUGACUGAAGAAAGUAUUACUAAUGAAAUUGUUUUAUCACAAAAUCUGGAUCAAAUCCUAAAAGCACUGACACAUGUUGAACGUUCUGUGGACUCUAAAGGCAGCUUGCUUGGCACCUUGGUGGAGCAGGCCUCUCUCAAAUCUGCGGAGCUAGAGAAGCACCUGGUUUGGAAUCAGUCACAGCUCCUGCUGAGAACUCUUGACCAACAUGUCCAAAUCACGCCAGAGAGCAACACGCAGACAAACUUUGUGAAGUCCUUCUUUGACUACAUCACUAGACUGGCUGCUGUUGUAUUACAAAGCCUGAAUACAGAGCUAGAUACAUCUGCAGAAGUGAAAGUGGGGAACCCUUUCAUACUGUUACAGCAGAGUCCAUCUCAGCUGCUCUCCCAGCUUGUGUUUGAGAAACAGGUUCAUCCUGACAGGGUUUCCUCUCUCUUGGCUAAAAAAGAGUUGAACUUGAAUGUGCAGCAAGUUAUUGUUAACUGUUGCUGUGAACCACUGUCAUUGUGCAGUGCAAGGCAAAACAGCCAGGUGAAGUCUCUUCUGACAAACAUCAACAACUUAGCACACCAGUGUGCCUGCCACUGCCUGCCAGAUGUUGAAAUACCUAUUCUCAAUUCUGCAGUGACCUCUGAGGAUAUCUCUACUCAGGCCUCAUCCCCUGUAAAUGACCUGAGCCCGCACACACUCACUGCCUCCUCCCUAGACUUCCUAAAGUCUCAGUCAAAGCUGAUGGCCACAGUGGCAUGUCUGAGUGCAUCUAAUAUACAGAAAAUUCCCAAAUCGAGUUUAUCUUGGAUGGAAUUUCGGGGCAAACGGGAGGUGCCCUUAGGUUUGGAGCAGAUUUCCAGGGAGUGUGAGACAUUGUUGAAGGAGUUUCCAAUAUUGGAACGAUUUCUUCUUACUAUGUUUGAGCCACUUCAGAAUCGGCAAGAGGAAGGUAGCAGUUUGGCUACUGUCUUCUCUGGCAAGACAUACAUAUCUCUGGUUCUCCUAGGAUUGCAUUCCAACACAGCUGUUAAGGUAUUAAUGGGAGUCUUUCAACAAGCUCUUGCUGCAAAGAAUUGGGACAGAGCUCUGAAGGUCUUAGAUCGGUACAGUCAGGACAUGGAGGAGCUGGUCAAUGUGAAGGAUGCUGUGCUGAGCUGUGCAACUGCUGAAGAUAAGGAUGGUUGGCAAUACUUGUUCCCAGUAAAAAAUGCAACAUUGAGAAGUAGGUUGGCUCUGCGCUAUCUGGACAAAUGGCCCCUUGAUGCCUGUUUGGAAAUCCUAGCUUACUGCAUUUCUGAUUUGGGCAUAGCUGAUGAACUGAAAGCCAGUCUGCAGAGCAGGAAGAAAGAACUUCAGGUUUAUGAAAAGAUUCUGAAUGUGCAAAAUGAACCAUUGUGGAAUGACUGGCAGGAGCUGAAAAAAGCCUGCACUGAUGACCCCCAGGCCGUCAUGAAUAUAAUUCUAAAGGCAAAGGAUUAUGAGUUGUGUGAGGAAUGGGGGCACUUGUAUCCUGUCCCAAGAGAAGAUUUGAUCAGCCUUCACCGGGAGCAUCUUCUUCACUUACUGGAGAUGGGAGAGAUGGAAAAAGCAUUGCAGCUUUUACAAAGAAUUGAAGACCCUGGCAUUUGCCUUGCCAUCAGUGAACAGUCCCUUGACCAGCAUCCGAACUUGGCAGGCUCUCACUUCUUGGCUGAUUACCUCACAGCUCACUUCUACGCAGAUCUGACAGCAGCACGCCGUAAUGAAAUCCAGGCACUCUAUAUGGGAUCAAAGGUGCUGCUGACUCUGCCUGAGCUUUCCCGUGUUAACUACUUCCACCUCUCCUCCAGGCCACUGCUCAUGCUGGAACAGCUCCUCAUGAAUAUGAAGGUGGACUGGGUAGCUGUCGCUGUGCAGACACUGCACCAGCUCUUAGCUGGACAGGAAAUUGGUUUUACUGUAGAAGACAUUGACAAUUUGCUCUCCAAGUAUGCAGAAAAAGCUCUCAACUUCCCUUUUGCAUUAAAAGAAAAGAGAUCAGAUUCUCUGAUACGUAUCCAAGAAAGUCUCAAUCAUGUAUUGGAGUCUGAAACAACAUCUAAAUCGGGAUCAUCAGAACUAUCUCCUGUCAGCUUUACUGGUGUCACCAUACCUGCAAGUCCCAGAGACAGAAUUCUGCAGCAGAAUUUGUGCCCUCAAGAAUUUGUGCCUCCUGAGAAGCCACCACCAAAGCAGCAAUGGAUACCUGAUGACACUGAAACGAUAUGUAUGGUUUGCAAAACUGAACGUUUCACUAUGUUUAACAGGCGCCAUCACUGCAGGCGCUGUGGCAGGCUGGUGUGCAGCUCUUGCUCCACCAAGAAAAUGGCAGUAGAAGCUUGCAGAGAAAAUCUGUCUCGUGUAUGUGAUCAGUGCUAUAGCUACUACAACAGAGAACAUCUGCCUGGCUUGGUAAAAGACACAAACAUCAGAAAAGAAGAUCAGGACCAAGUGGAAGUGGUGCGAAUACCCAAAGCUACUGAGCUUGAAUGGAUUUUUUCCCUGAAUGAAGAGGAGAAUGAAAUUGUACGCAGUGAAUUUUAUUAUGAUCAGGCUCCCAGCUCUUCCUUGUGUAUUGCCAUCCUUAGCCUGCACAGUGACAGCAUAGUUUGUGGCCACCAGCUGAUAGAGCACUGCUGCAAAUUGUCCCAAGGGCUCACUAAUCCGGAGGUGGAUGCUGGUCUGCUUAUGGACAUCAUGAAACAAUUGCUUUUCAGUGCCAAAAUGAUGUUUGUAAAAGCUGGAAGGAACCAGGACCUAGCUCUUUGUGACAGCUACAUCAGCAAAGUGGAUGUGUUGAAUAUUUUGGUUGCUGCUGCCUACCAUCCAAUACCAUCUUUGGAUCAGAUUCUUCUCCCUGCAGCAGUAACAAGAUUAAGGAAUCAGCUUCUGGAAGCAGAGUACUAUGAACUAGCUAUCGAGGUAUCUACAAAAUCUGGGUUGGAUCCAGGUGGAGCAUGGCAUGCCUGGGGCAUGGCUUGCCUUAAAGCUGGAAAUUUAAGUUCAGCCAGAGAGAAGUUUAACCGAUGUUUAAAACCACCUAUGGAUCUAAACCAGCUGAACCAUGGUUCAAGGCUGGUCCAGGACGUGAUACAGUACCUGGAGUCCACAGUGAAGCCCAUACUCAUUGCAGAUGAUGAUUACUUUGCCACAUUGAGGGAACUUGAAGCAACACUGAGAACGAGAAGUCUGUCUCUGGAGAUGAUAUGUGAGGGGAAGAUUCAGCACAACAGCUACUAUCAAGAGUGCUUGUUCUAUUUACACAGUUACGGCACUAAUCUGGCGAUAAUAAGCUUUUACAUGAGGCAUGACUGUAUGAGAGAAGCACUGCUUCACUUGUUAAAUAAGGAAUCCCCAUCAGAAGUGUUCAUUGAAGGGAUCUUCAUUCCAAGUUAUGAAAGUGGAAAACUCCAUAUGUUGGAGAACUUGCUGGAAACCAUUGAUCCAGGACUGGAGAGCUGGGGAGUCUACUUGAUUGCAGCCUGCAAAUACUUGCAGAGAAAGAACUACUACCAUAUUCUGUAUGAGCUGCAACAGUUCAUGAAGGAUCACGUUCGUGCUGCCAUGACCUGCAUUAGAUUUUUCACUCAUGGAGCAAAGUCUUACACUGAACUGGGAGGCAAACAGACAUGGCUUCUAAAGAUCAAGGACCAUCUCAAAGUCUAUCUGCAGGAGGUCUCAAGAAAUUCAGGAAGGAAAAAAAUGGCAUUCACUUUUCGGAAGAAAAUGUCUGCUACAGAUGUGUCAAGGCACAUCAAUACAGUUGAUCUGCAGAUGGAAGUAACAAAGUUCCUGCAUCGAUGUGAGAGCUCAGGAACCUCUCAAAUGACAGGUUCCUCCUUGCCCACACUCUUUGGAAACAAUAACAUGAAAAUGGAUGUUGCUUGCAAGGUCAUGUUGGAAGGCAAAAACAUUGAGGAAGGUUUUGGAAUUGCAUUUAGAGUCCUUCAGGACUUCCAGCUGGAGGCUACAGAAGUGUACAGCAAAGUGGCCAAGCAGCUGGUGAAGCAGCAGAAGUACAGUGAGAUCCGGCAGCUCCUCAAGUGUGUCAAUGAGUCGGGAGUUGCAGCAAAAAACGAUGGGGAUAACAUUAUCCUAAAUUGUCUAAACGAGUUCAAGAACAUUCCUGCUGAGGAUCUUGAUAAUCUGAUUCAGGAUAUGGACAGUGAUGAAAACAAGAUCCAGGCCUACGUGAUGUGCAACAAGUUGCGUUCUGCCUACCUCGUCUCGGUGAGGCAGGAAAAGACCAGAGCAGUGCAGCUAGUGCAACAUGUGCGACAGCUGGCUGAGAGCAGCAGAGAUGACGUUGUGAAGGCCAUCUGUACCCAGUGGCUCCUGGCACACCAGCCCAAAACCAGAAAUCGGCUUCCCCAGGGCACUAGGAAAUAAUAAGAAAUUGACAUUCACCAUCAUACAGAGGAGCAAGGCUUCAAGGCUGCGUAAAGGCAUGUGGCUCAGCAAUCUCUUGGUAAAAUGGAAAUCUCUUGACUGAUGUUGGUGGCUAAUGGAUGCUGCUAAUGUGCCUCUGGUAAAAGGAAGGGAACUAAAUUACAAGUGCCAGUCCUGUAUUUUGUCAAACAGUCACUACCUCAGGGUCUUUUUUGACUAUCUUUUUUGGGGCAAGGGGUCAGUUUCAAACUGAACAAGCAAGAAUUUAGGUGUAUAAAAGUGAGUACUUCUCUUUCUGGGGUGGGGGUGGGGGUGUUGUUGGGGUUUGGGCCUUUUUUUUCAAAGGUAUUGACCUUUAUUACAUAUUUUUAAUCCAGAAAGCCUAAAUAGAGAGGACAGUAAAAUUUCGUCAACUCAGUGUAGCCUGGGGUAUAAAACUUCUUGUGAUUAUGGGUUUCCUGUAGCUUUUCUGGAGACAUCCUCUUUUACAAAGACUGUAAUUUCCAAAGACAAAAUUGAGAUUUUUUUUUUUUUUUUUUUAAGCCUCUCUACAAACCAUUGCUACUCCUUUUUUUUUUUUUUUUUUUUCCUUUUUCUUCCCUUUUUUUUUUUCCUUUCCCCUCCCACUAGGCGGGGAGAGGAAAAAGAAGAAACAUGCCCGGUUUCUUUAGUUCUCUUGAAAAGGUAGGAACUGAUUCUCUGUGGCAGGUUUCUGCUUACCAGUCAUAUUGUCUGACGUGUGCCAUACGUAUGGUACUUGAGCCCUUAUUAGAUGAAUGAAGUUAUAAAGGGCUUAUCCUGUAAGGGGAGUACAAAGGGAAAAUAAUACUUUAAAAUAGCUGAAAAAUCAUGUACCUCUUUCUUUGCUAUGGUAAUAUCCAAUAAACUGUUGCAAUGCAGCUUUAUCACAAAAUACUUGCCAGUAAACUUCCACAAUUUUUCAUCAGGUGUAGCAGAAAAUACAGAUAAAGCAAGCUGUGGUAGAAUUCAACAGGCCGUCUGUAUCCCUGUCACACAGGGAUUUAUUUGUUUCGUACCAGAAUAAUCUGUCACUGUCAGGUACAGUCGAACACCAGACUGAAUUUUAUUAACUUGGCAUAUUGUAUAGACUAUAUUGACAGGCUUUGCUCUGGAAGUGUUAGCUUAACUCAGCUUUAUGAAAAAGCAGGAAUCUUCGUGUAAUGACUGUUCAGGGAUGCUGAAAAAAGCAGCUGCUUCUCUGCAACUGUGAUUGGGACACGAGAAUGGUAGACAGUAGUAGGACCUUCAGAAAGAAACAGAACGAAACGUGGUACUCAACAAUGGUUUGUGCUUGCUGUUUACAUGUACUUCAGCACAAGAAGUAGGAAAACUAGUUCACUUUGGAAGUAAACUGAAGUUUUUAACAAAAGAAGAAACAAGAGGUUUUCUGAAGUGUAAUAUAACUGUAAAUAGUUUUAGUACAUAACUGUCAAAUAAGAGUUUUGCACUAUCCCCAAGCUCACCGUAGUGACAGAACGGACUUCCAUGGGUUCAGAAAGGACUUGGUCCAUCUCCUUUAGUGUUUCAUGAGCACUGCCCCACUGAUGCCUUCUGCCUGUCUGGUGGAGGUGUUCCACUCACCUGAUGUGCUUCGUUUGCUGCUUGUACUUAUGGGGAGGGAUUCAUUUUUCAAGUUACCUGAUCCUGAGAACUUCGGGAGGUGAUAAAAGAUACCUCUUUUAAGGCGAUUGGCACACUCCCAAACUUGAGAGAAGACAGAAUCUGCCCUAGACCUUGGGAUGUCUUUGAGUGGUGGAGGUUUGGAAACACUGUUUUGCUCCAUAUAAACAAGAUAACAAAGUCCUAGCUCUAGAAACAUUCUUUUUUUUUUCCUUCCAAAUUUGUAAGAAGGCAUUUUCAACAGGGUCAGUUUCAGAUCAGGUACUUUCCUCUAAGUUAAUUCAUUUAGCCAUAUUUUUCAGUUGUUCCUAACUGAAUGGAAAUCAGUUAAAUGUUGGUGGGCAUGUGGGUAAUGUUAUUGUGGCUUAGGUACCUCUUACUUCUACUGCAUUAAAGUUCUCUUGAUGUGCUUUGAGUCACAGUUUAAUCCGGAUUGAUGUGAAUUAACUGCCAAAUGCAUUCUGGCAUUUCCAUUAGGGCAGACCCAGUGUAAUGCUUUCAGUCCGCAUUGUCUGAUCUCUUGUUGGCAUAUAGACAAAAAUGUCUCAAGCCAUUGCCACCUGGCUUUUGGCAACUAGCGUUUCUUUGGCUGCUGGUUAGUGAGUGCACUGGGUUCUUAAGCCUCCUGGGGGACACAGAGGAGGUAAAAUGCUGCUUUUUCAGUCCUGCCCCGGGUUUCAGUGAGUUCGAGGCAGCAGUUUUGAGCGGGCGCUAUUUAAAUCGGGUUAGUGACAUGACCUGUAUGAAACAAAAUAUUGACUUCUGAAGGCUGUUUUCCUGCAGUUCAUGUCCAUGAUUUCACUUGCAACCCAGCUACAAAAGUAAUUGCGUUGGCACAGAUGUACGUGGUGGCAAAUCAUGGGAGAAGUUGCAGAGAGUG